CCAAAGUCCCAAAGCAGAACAGUUGGAGAUUUCGACCUAGGCUUGUCUUGGAAAUACAGCUCAGGGGUAGAGCAUCUGACGGCAGACCCAGGCUUGUCUGAAUCCAGCGUCUGAUGGUUAAGCACCUGGGCUCACAGAUGAAAACUUGAAAGCCUGAGGGCUGACGGUGGCCCGGCACACACUGCAGGCCCCCUGAGCGGCCGUCUGCUCUCAGGAAUGAGGCAGGUCUUGAGGGCAGGGAAGGUCCAAGGAGGACUUGCAGGGCGGGGGAAUGUUCUGGAGCUGACAAGCCAGCUGGCUUUCCUGGGUCCAUGAGGGCAGCCAGCCAUGGGGCCUGGGGCCCGGCGCUCACCAGGCCAGCAGCCUCCUGGAGCUGGCUUCUUGGGAAGGACACAGCUGAAAUUCCUGACGAGGCUGCCAGCAAAUGAGUCAGUGCCGGGACGGCCGUGCUCACUGAGAACCAGACUGGGUGGAGGAGGCCUUCCACCAGCCCGAGUGCCCUGCUUGCUGAGGACCAGCCUGGGUCGAGGAGGCCUUCCACCAGCCCAUGUGCCCUGCUCGCUGAGGACCAGCCUGGGUGGAGGAGGCCUUCCACCAGCCUGCGUGCCCUGCUUGCUGAGAACCAGCCUGGGUGGAGAAGGCCUUCCACCAGCCCAAGUGGGAGCAGGCUGGAGCAGACAUGCAGCCCUGGGGGCCCCUUGACCCUCCAGUUCUGGGGCCCCAGAUGCCCCGCCGGGGGGUUGGCCACGUGGGCUUGGUGACUCCCAGGAGGGUGGAGCAGCGGACUGGCUGGGAGACGGCUUGAAUCUUCCGCUCAGCGCCAAGCACAGCCCUGCCCUCCUGGAGGGUGGACCCUGUGGCCUUUACUCAUAUCUUUUCUUAUUCCACGGAGAACGUGAGGCUGAGCUGCUGUUCCUUUUGUUGACUUAAAAAAUAUUCAUGA